rnacentral:rRNA from 1 species
UACAGAGAGCUGCAAGCGUUAUUCGGAUUCACUGGGCGUAAAGGGUGCGCAGGCGGCCAAGUGUGUGAGGCGUGAAAGCCCGGGGCUUAACCCCGGAAUUGCACCUCAAACUACAUGGCUAGAGCAUUGGAGAGGGUGAGCGGAAUUCACGGGUGUAGCAGUGAAAUGCGCAGAUAUCAGGAGGAACACCGGUGGCGAAGGCGGGUCUCUGGGCCGAUACUGACGCUGAGGAGCGAAAAGCGUGGGGAGCGAACAGG